rnacentral:lncRNA from 1 species
GCAGUUGUGCGUGUAUAUAUUAUAAAUUAUUCAAUUCAACAGUCUCCUCCAUUGAUACGAGUGUUACUUUGUUGUAUCAACAUGAAGAAGAAGACGGCUCUUCUUUGGCUGUUCCUAUUCUUCUCAGCCUUCUUGUUUCCUCUCUCAGCAUCAUCAUCAAGUAAGCCCCAACAUUUCAUAAUCUUCAUAUGAUAUAUAUUCAUUCUUAUCUCUCUCUCUCUCUCUUAAAAUUAUUGCAGGAAGCCUCAGUUCAAUCACGGAUCAUUUUCAGGUUCUUCUUCCUUUCCAUUCAUAUUCUUUUCCCCUUUCUUAGUAAUAUCAUUAUUGGAUUUUCUGUUCAGUUUGGUAAUUUAAAUGUGGAGUAGAUUGCACUGGAGACAGGAGAGGAGAAAGAAUUAUACAGAGAAAGAAGAAUGGAUAUUGAAACCAGUGACUAUCCAGGGACUGGUGCCAAUAAUCACCAUGAUCCAAGACCCCCUGGAAGCUUUUGAAUCUAAGAAAAUGCUACUUAUUAUGUAUUUGUACAAAUUAAAAUGAGGAAAAUUAAAAGAAUAAUUCCUCUAAUUCUUGAGUUUCAUUAAUUAUUUUGCCCUCAAAUAUUGAUCUUUUGUACUGUAUCCAUACUUUUUUUUUUUUUUUUUUUUUUUUUUCGGAUCAUUUUCAG